rfam:Cuculus canorus isolate BGI_N303 unplaced genomic scaffold scaffold50, whole genome shotgun sequence.
AAAACUGCUUUUCUCAAAGCAACUACUUUAUACAUACAAACAUUU